CUCAACUAAGUCGUCAGUCCUGAGACAUACCCCUCCCCUCUACCUUUCACUUAAACUUUUUAUAUUUCUAAUUUUGGAUUUCUUUCAGGAUCCAGGCAGUUGAGACAGGAUACUCCAAAUAAGGAACCUAACCCACCCAUCCUGACCACAAGUAACCCUUUGAAGGGUUCCUGCCAGGUUCCAUCUUUUUCAAAAUCCUUAUGUCUUAGAAGAAGAGAUGAGACUUCCUCUAUUUACAUGUUUCCUUUUUUUGCAUAGUCACCACAUACCGACGAGAUGAAGCUUCAAGAAGGCAGGCAAGGGACACAGGAAGUGGGAGCCCUUCCCCAGGCGCCUCCCCCCCCCCCCCCCGCGCCCAGCCUCGACCGGAAGGACCUCGGAUGUCGGUCACCGUUACCGUGUGACUCCUUUAGGAGUCUUUGUUCUUUUGUAUAUAUUGUACCCUUUUGAAUAAAGACUUCAGUUAGCCUCUUACACAGCACCUGAUGAAGCCUCUGGCUGAAAGCGCUAGUGCUUUGAGUUAACUGUUAAUUUUAAGGAUUUACAUGGUGUCUUUGAAAAGGGUCCUGCUGGAAGAUCCUGUGGGGUACCAAACUGUCCUCGGAGCUUUUCCUGGUAGCCUCUGGUGGACAGCACUCUCACCCCUCUGGAAAAUUAGCAGUUUUCAAUUUUUUCUGGCACUGAUAUUUGUGAACUGUAUACAGGAGCUUUUACAUAGAAUAAGUUUAUAUAUGUUUAAGGAAUAAAGAGAGAAAUAAGGUGA